AUCAAACGACAUUGCGAAUCCUUUCUCAUAGUCGAAUGUAAUCACUCGAGUUUUUGCUCUCGCAAUCGCGAGAGCCUCGGUUCGAGCACGAGAGAAAUGCACUCGUCGCGGUGUACAAUCGUGAAGAAGAUUUUUACAUUUUCUUCGAUAAUAAGAUUGUAGUUAACCCGUAGACACCGCACGGUGCAAAUUUACGCACAGGACAAUUUCGAGUGUCCGGAACUUGAAAAUUCCUUUCUUCAAUUUUCGACCAUUUUUCUAUAAUAAAACUCGAUUUAUCAAUUUUUCGUUUGCUGAGGAAUUGGUACCCCUAAAAAGUCUCGUUGUAAGAUAAAUUCCACACAUUCGUGGACGAAAUAAAAACGUUUUGAAAAGUCCAAAUGCAAAUUUGCACCGGCGCGAUGACCGUGUGACCUCAAAGGGAGUGUCGUGUCUACGGGUUGAAAAGAAUUUCUGAAACUGUGCUGGGUGUGUCCGGAUACAGAAGUGUCGUUACAAAACCUAAAAUCGUGAGUGUCGCGACGUUCUGAUUAUUCUCCACCGGAGCACGCCAGCAGGCCGAGUUCCGAUUCCUUAUUUCGCACAUCCAAUUACUGAUAGAAAUAUUAAAAAAUGGAAGUUUGCCAAACGUUGACAUCGGUGAAUCGACGCAUCGAUUGCUCCGCAAUACGAUUAACGAAUCAUUGCGAAUCGGGUUGAUCGAACAAAAACAGAGAUUGUCACCGUUCGUUAUGAUAAUUAAGGCAAACGUAUAUUUUCGACGAGAAAUCUAUAGCCGGAUGGAAGCUGCAGGAAUAUAAGUGUACAACAGGCAAAGUCGUAAUAUAUUCCAGCCAGGAAUCGAAGCUAGAUGCGCCGAGGAAUUAACAACGUUAUCGUCAUUGUAGUUUCUAGCACAUCGCGCGGAUGGAUUGGAACACGGUGUGUCGAAGCGAUGGAAAAGCUUCGGGAUUCCGGGAGUCAGAGGGAGAGAGGGCGCUCGCGGUUCCGUCGAUGCAAAGGAAUAAGCUCGACGCGCAUCCAUACGGCUUUCCAUCUACCCUUCGAAAUGAUGGCCCAACCAAGAGACAAAGGAAUGUAGAUUGCAGGGACGCGGAUUAACGAGGAUUAACACUAAUUGGUCGGGAGCGGGUUUUGGCGCAUCCGCGAGACGACAAGCUGGUUGCCGGUUGCCGGGGGGAGUCGAGGAGGCCCGUGCGGACGGAUCUCUCGUUCCAGGCGAGUGGAUUCAGGUGGUUUGACUCAGGGCUUGACGAUCCUCGCUGUGUAGCCAAGCCAGGCCUCUCUCAGCCUCGCACUUAUUCCGAGUCAACAGGAAUUCUCGUCGUUAUCGAAAUACGCUAUUGGAUUAACGGGUUAUGCCACUUUCUCGUAACUCGGUUUCCCAUAUCCUGAGGAGGAAUAUCGAAAGGAGUGUAAUCAGCCCUGAGAUGGAGUAUUCGUUGUAAUUCGUUCCUGAUCGAUUGGCUUGUGUCCGAUCGAUCUUCCAUUCGGUACCUGCGAAAUGGAGUGCUUUGGGGGAAAAAGCGAAAAUAUUGACUGUGCAAUGCCAAUCGUUUCACUGCGCCAUCCAAAUUCAUUUUUUCACAAAUACUUCAAAGAUUCCUCGCUUCCCGGUGGUUAACUUUUCUUCUAAAAAGUGCUGCGACGGAACAAAGGAACUCGGCGUUGUAUUGAGCGAUGCUGAGCGUCCUGACUUUUGCUGAUGAUCUUCCAUGACGUUGAAACGAGUUUUUGGGGGAGAUUGAACAUCGAAUGGUAAACAUGCCUCCUCAUAUGGACACUUGUGGUUUAAAAUAAUUCUUUAAUUGAGGGAUAAUUGUAUAUUUUCGAUGGGAAUACGUGCCAAACGAAUAAAGGAUGCUUCGCAUUGCGGAUAUA